CAACCCCUUGAGAGUGGCGAACGGGUGAGUAAUAUAUCGGAACGUGCCCAGUCGUGGGGGAUAACGUAGCGAAAGUUACGCUAAUACCGCAUACGAUCUACGGAUGAAAGCGGGGGACCGUAAGGCCUCGCGCGAUUGGAGCGGCCGAUAUCAGAUUAGGUAGUUGGUGGGGUAAAGGCUCACCAAGCCAACGAUCUGUAGCUGGUCUGAGAGGACGACCAGCCACACUGGAACUGAGACACGGUCCAGACUCCUACGGGAGGCAGCAGUGGGGAAUUUUGGACAAUGGACGCAAGUCUGAUCCAGCCAUUCCGCGUGCAGGAUGAAGGCCCUCGGGUUGUAAACUGCUUUUGUACGGAACGAAAAGGUCUCUAUUAAUACUAGGGGCUCAUGACGGUACCGUAAGAAUAAGCACCGGCUAACUACGUGCCAGCAGCCGCGGUAAUACGUAGGGUGCAAGCGUUAAUCGGAAUUACUGGGCGUAAAGCGUGCGCAGGCGGUUAUGUAAGACAGAGGUGAAAUCCCCGGGCUCAACCUGGGAACUGCCUUUGUGACUGCAUAGCUAGAGUACGGUAGAGGGGGAUGGAAUUCCGCGUGUAGCAGUGAAAUGCGUAGAUAUGCGGAGGAACACCGAUGGCGAAGGCAAUCCCCUGGACCUGUACUGACGCUCAUGCACGAAAGCGUGGGGAGCAAACAGGAU
rnacentral:rRNA from 1 species